CGGAGUUAGCCGAUGCUUAUUCCUCAGGUACCGUCAAAAUUCUUCCCUGGGAAAAGAGGUUUACAAUCCAAGAACCUUCCUCCCUCACGCGGUAUUGCUCCGUCAGGCUUUCGCCCAUUGCGGAAAAUUCCCC
rnacentral:rRNA from 1 species